rnacentral:rRNA from 1 species
UUAUCUCUGUAGAGUCUGCAUAUCAAUAAGCGGAGGAAAAGAAGCUAACUAGGAUUCCCUUAGUAACGGCGAGUGAAGCGGGAAGAGCUCAAAUUUGAAAUCUUCAAGGUUCUACCUUGACGAAUUGUAGUUUAAAGAAGUGUUUUCUGUUGGAGUUUUGGUAAAAGUUCUUUGGAAUAGGACAUCAUAGAGGGUGAGAAUCCCGUAUUUGACCAUUUCUUCCAGCUGUGUGAUACACUUUCAAAGAGUCGGAUUGUUUGGGAAUGCAGUCCAAAAUGGGUGGUACAUUUCAUCUAAAGCUAAAUAUUGGCGAGAGACCGAUAGCGAACAAGUACCGUGAGGGAAAGAUGAAAAGAACUUUGAAAAGGGAGUUAAACAGUACGUGAAAUUGUCAAAAGGGAAGCGUUUGACACCAGUGUUGUUUUCUCGAAAAUCAAUUAAAAAAGGCCGGAUUUUGUGUUGUAUUGACCUUAAAAGCUUUCUUCACUCUUUUCUUGUCUUUUUUAAUGCACUUUUCGUUUAACAAGUCAACAUCAGUUUCUUUUGUUGUAAAAGGGUCAUUGGAAGGUGGCUUUCUUUUCGGAGAAAGUGUUUAUAGCCUUUGGCCUCUGCAAUCGGAGAGAUUGAGGUCUGCAGCGUAGAUCCUUCGGGGUUAGAUACAGUUUGUGCUAAGUUAUAGCUUUUCAUAGACAACUUGUUGACUAUGUUUAGUCUUGUAGCUUACUCGCUGACGCUAUUUUACCUACGCUUAGGAUGUUGAGUAGCGACAUACGCAC